rnacentral:rRNA from 1 species
UACGUAGGGUGCGAGCGUUAAUCGGAAUUACUGGGCGUAAAGCGCGCGUAGGCGGACCUGCAAGUCGGGGGUGAAAGCCCGAGGCUCAACCUCGGAACUGCCUUCGAUACUGCGGGUCUCGAGUCCGGGAGAGGUGAGUGGAAUUCCCAGUGUAGAGGUGAAAUUCGUAGAUAUUGGGAAGAACACCAGUGGCGAAGGCGGCUAACUGGUCCAGUACUGACGCUGAGGUGCGAAAGCGUGGGGAGCAAACAGG